GCAGAAGAGGAAGUCACGGCUAACUCUGUGCCAGCAGCCGCGGUAAUACAGAGGUGGCUAGCGUUGUUCGGAUUUACUUGGCGCAAAGGGUCCGCAGGCGGCCCCGCAUGUCGGAUGUGAAAGCUCACGGUUCAACCGUGGAACGGCAUUCGAAACUGUGGGGCUAGAGUCCGGGAGAGGAGAGGGGAAUUCUUGGUGUAGCGGUGAAAUGCGUAGAUAUCAAGAAGAACGCCGGUGGCGAAAGC
rnacentral:rRNA from 1 species